rnacentral:rRNA from 1 species
UCGAGGAUCUUCGUCAAUGGGCGCAAGCCUGAACGAGCGACGCCGCGUGUGCGAUGAAGGCCUUCGGGUUGUAAAGCACUUUAGUGGGGGAGAAAAGGGCAACCUUGAUCUAUCCCAAGAAUAAGCACGGGCUAAGUUCGUGCCAGCAGCCGCGGUAAGACGAACCGUGCGAACGUUGUUCGGAAUCACUGGGCUUAAAGGGCGCGUAGGCGGCUUGCCAAGUCCGGGGUGAAAGCCUCCAGCUCAACUGGAGAAGUGCCUUGGAUACUGGCGAGCUCGAGCGAGGUAGGGGCGGGUGGAACUUCCGGUGGAGCGGUGAAAUGCGUUGAUAUCGGAAGGAACGCCGGUGGCGAAAGCGACCCGCUGGACCUCUUCUGACGCUGAGGCGCGAAAGCUAGGGUAGCGAACGG